rnacentral:tRNA from 1 species
GGUGGCUCAGUGGUAGAGUGCUUGCUUUGCGUGCAUGAGGUCCUGGGGUCGAUCCUCAGCACCA